AGACAGAGUGUCGCCUUGUCGCCCAGGCUGGAGUUCAGUGGCUCAGUAUUGGCUCACUGCAACCUCUGCCUCCCAGGUGCAAACGAUUCUCCUGCCUCAGACUCCCAAGUAGCUGGCACUACAGCUGUCUGCCACCACACCCAGCUAAUUCUGUUGUAUUUUAGUAGAGACAGGGUUUCACCCUGUUGGCCAGGCUGCUCUCGAACUCCUGACCUCAAGUGAUCUGCCCGCCUUGGCCUCCCUAAGUGCUGGGAUUACAGACGUGAGCCAUUGCGCCUGGCCUUUUUCUUUUUUUCUUUUUUUGAGACGGAGUCUUGCUCUCUCGCCCGGGCUGGAGUGCAGUGGUGCGAUCUCGGCUCACUGCAAGCUCCAUCUCCCGGGUUCUCGCCAUUCUCCUGCUUCAGCCUCCUGAGUAGUUGGGACUACAGGCGCCCACCACCACAUCCGGCUAAUUUUUUGUAUUUUUAGUAGAGACUGGGUUUCAUUGUGUUAGCCAGGAUGGUCUCGAUCUCCUGACCUCGUUGAUCCGCCCGCCUCAGCCUCCCAAAGUGCUGGGAUUACAGGUGUUAGCCACCACAGCCGGCCCUCUUUUUUUUUGAGAUGGAGUCUCGCUUUGUUGCCCAGGCUGGAGUGCAGUGGCGCAAUCUUGGCUCACUGCAGCCUCUGCCUCCCGGGUUCAAGCGAUUCUCCUGCUUCGGCCCCCUGAGUAGCUGGGAUUACAGGCACGUGCCACCACACCCAGCUAAUUUUUGUAUUUUUAGUAGAGACGGGGUUUCACCAUGUUGGCCACGCUGGUCUUGAGCUCCUGACCUCGUGAUCUUCCCGCCUCAGCUCCCCACAGUGCUGGGAUUCCAGGCGUGAGCUGCUGUACCUGCCCAUGAUAACUUUCUCACCACCACCAACUUCAGUUUCCCUCGCUGCUGUAAUAAUCAGUUCCCUGAGCUGGGCCUUGAGGUCCGAGUUCAUCUCCAGCUCCAGAAGAAUCUAAGAAGGCAAGAACACCAGGGUCAACCCUCAGUGCGUGUAUGAGCACCCCCAGCCUCAUUUUUGUGUUUUCUAUAGAGAUGGGGUCUCGCUGUGUUGCCCAUGCUGGUCCUGAACUCCUUAUCUCAAGUGAUCCUCCUGCCUCGGCCUCCUAAAGUGCUGGGAUUACAGCCAUCAGCCGCCGUGUCCGGCUUUAAAAAGCAAUCCUAAAAAUCGUAAACAAAAUGACACAGAGGAACCUUAUUGCUCAUCGAGCCAUGCAAGAAAGGAACCGUUUAUUUCCAGCAAGUUUAAAACAUCGAUUUGACCUCCAGCCAUGGUCGAUGAGAUGUUAGAAAACCAACUCUCUUGCUGACAACAACGAGAAAAUCUUGAUACCAUUUAGCAAAAAGAAGUCUGUGGGGGAGGCGUUGGAGAGUGACGGAACUGCCACGGCCUGAGGCACCCGGCUUCCGGAGCCUCUGGCAGCCCAGAGAAGUCUCUGUCUUGUCGCCCAGGCUGGGGUACAGUGGUGCCAUCUCAGCUGACUGCAACCUCCGCCUCCGGGUUCAAGUGAUUGUCCUGCCUCAGCCUCCUGAGUAGCUGGGAUUACAGGCGCCCACCACCAUGCCUGGACGUCCCAGUGAUCGGGAGGAGCGGGAAGAGCUUCAGCUACAACCAGGACGUGGUGCUGCUGCUUCUGACAGACGGAGUCCUGUUCCACCUUCAGAGCGUCACGGCGUACGCCCUCAUGGGGAAAAUCUCCCCGGUGACUUUCAGGCCCAGUAAAUGCGGAUGUUUAUCUUCCAUUGUUUGUUUCCUGAGAUUCAGAUGUCUAAAGCAUUUUUCUGUGACUUUUCAAGGCAAGAGGAAAACCUGACAUAUGGAAAGGGAAUUAAUUGCUCGUUUUAUCCUCUUCUCCUGCAAUGCUCUGAAUCCAUGGGUUUGGAGUGGGGCCCUGGGAGUUGGGGGAAGCACCAUACCCAGUGAGUCUGCACUUUGAGGACCCACUGCCAGUGUCAGCUUCAAAAUCACAUUGUAAAAGGCCCGGCGCGGUGGCUCACGCCUGUAAUCCCAGCACUUUAGGAGGACGAAGCAGGCGGAUCACUUGAGGUCAGGAGUUCGAGACCAGCCUGGCCAAUAUGGCGAAACCUCGUCUCUACCAAAAAUAUAAAAAUUAGCCGGGCGUGGUGGCGCGGGCCUGUGGUUCCAGCUACUCGGGAGGCUGAGGCAGGAAAAUUCCUUGAACCCGGGAGGAGGCUGCAGUGAGCCAAGACCACGCCACUGCACUCCAACCUGGGCGGCAGAGCAAGGCUCCGACUCAAAAGUAAAUACAUGAAUAAAUAAAAUAAAAUCACAUCGUAAGAGCUCUCCCUGCUUUGUUUCUGAGUAAGGUUCAGAGUUAAAUUCCGAGAUCGGCCUUUACAAGACACACAGACCUGAGGCGCCUCACGAGGUAACCAGCAGACACAGGAAGUGCCGCACAGAGCGAGCCCCUGUCGUCUUGAGUUCUGGGCCAGAGGUCGGCUAUUAUAUCAUCAUUAGGCGUCAACACAGGAAGUGAGGAUACUUCUGGCGAGCGCCGGUUGCUGUUUCUUCUCAGGCUCAGGGACCGGCCGCGGCCCCGUAGGGUGUUUUAACUCAAAUGGGUGAUGAAAAGGACUCUUGGAAAGUGAAAACUUUAGAUGAAAUUCUUCAGGAAAAGAAACGAAGGAAGGAACAAGAGGAGAAAGCAGAGAUAAAACGCUUAAAAAAUUCUGAUGACCGGGAUUCCAAGCGGGAUUCCCUUGAGGAGGGGGAGCUGAGAGAUCACUGCAUGGAGAUCACAAUAAGGAACUCCCCGUAUAGAAGAGAAGACUCAAUGGAAGACAGAGGAGAAGAAGAUGAUUCUUUGGCCAUCAAACCACCCCAGCAAAUGUCUCGGAAAGAAAAAGUUCAUCACAGAAAAGAUGAAAAGAGAAAAGAAAAAUGUAGGCAUCAUAGCCAUUCAGCAGAAGGGGGGAAGCAUGCUAGAGUGAAAGAAAGAGAGCACGAACGUCGGAAACGACAUCGAGAAGAACAGGAUAAAGCUCGCCGGGAAUGGGAAAGACAGAAGAGAAGGGAAAUGGCAAGGGAGCAUUCCAGGAGAGAAAGGGACCGCUUGGAGCAGUUAGAAAGGAAGCGGGAGCGGGAGCGCAAGAUGCGGGAGCAGCAGAAGGAGCAGCGGGAGCAGAAGGAGCGCGAGCGGCGGGCGGAGGAGCGGCGCAAGGAGCGGGAGGCCCGCAGGGAAGUGUCUGCACAUCACCGAACGAUGAGAGAGGACUACAGCGACAAAGUGAAAGCCAGCCACUGGAGUCGCAGCCCGCCUCGGCCGCCGCGGGAGCGGUUCGAGUUGGGAGACGGCCGGAAGCCAGUAAAAGAAGAGAAAAUGGAAGAAAGGGACCUGCUGUCCGACUUACAGGACAUCAGCGACAGCGAGAGGAAGACCAGCUCGGCCGAGUCCUCGUCAGCGGAAUCAGGCUCAGGUUCUGAGGAAGAAGAGGAGGAGGAGGAAGAGGAGGAGGAGGAAGGGAGCACCAGUGAAGAAUCAGAGGAGGAGGAGGAGGAAGAGGAAGAGGAGGAGGAGGAGACCGGCAGCAACUCUGAGGAGGCAUCAGAGCAGUCUGCCGAAGAAGUAAGUGAGGAAGAAAUGAGUGAAGAUGAAGAACGAGAAAAUGAAAACCACCUCUUGGUUGUUCCAGAGUCACGGUUCGACCGAGAUUCCGGGGAGAGUGAAGAAGCAGAGGAAGAAGUGGGUGAGGGAACGCCGCAGAGCAGCGCCCUGACAGAGGGCGACUAUGUGCCCGACUCCCCUGCCCUGUUGCCCAUCGAGCUCAAGCAGGAGCUGCCCAAGUACCUGCCGGCCCUGCAGGGCUGCCGGAGCGUCGAGGAGUUCCAGUGCCUGAACAGGAUCGAGGAGGGCACCUAUGGAGUGGUCUACAGAGCAAAAGACAAGAAAACAGAUGAAAUUGUGGCUCUAAAGCGGCUGAAGAUGGAGAAGGAGAAGGAGGGCUUCCCGAUCACGUCCCUGAGGGAGAUCAACACCAUCCUCAAGGCCCAGCAUCCCAACAUUGUCACCGUUAGAGAGAUUGUGGUGGGCAGCAACAUGGACAAGAUCUACAUCGUGAUGAACUACGUGGAGCACGACCUCAAGAGCCUGAUGGAGACCAUGAAACAGCCCUUCCUGCCAGGGGAGGUGAAGACCCUGAUGAUCCAGCUGCUGCGGGGGGUGAAACACCUGCACGACAACUGGAUCCUGCACCGUGACCUCAAGACGUCCAACCUGCUGCUGAGCCACGCCGGCAUCCUCAAGCCUCCCACAGCUUCGCGGGCACUGGCCUUCCUGAACACCUCUCCUGGCGUCUUAGGAAUACUCCACGGCCGUGGACAUGUGGUCAGUGGGCUGCAUCUUCGGGGAGCUGCUGACUCAGAAGCCUCUGUUCCCCGGGAAUUCGGAAAUCGAUCAGAUCAACAAAGUGUUCAAGGAGCUGGGGACCCCCAGUGAGAAAAUCUGGCCCGGCUACAGUGAGCUCCCAGUAGUCAAAAAGAUGACCUUCAGCGAGCACCCCUACAACAACCUCCGCAAGCGCUUCGGGGCUCUGCUCUCAGACCAGGGCUUCGACCUCAUGAACAAGUUCCUGACCUACUUCCCCGGGAGGAGGAUCAGCGCUGAGGACGGCCUCAAGCAUGAGUAUUUCCGCGAGACCCCCCUCCCCAUCGACCCCUCCAUGUUCCCCACGUGGCCCGCCAAGAGCGAGCAGCAGCGUGUGAAGCGGGGCACCAGCCCGAGGCCCCCUGAGGGAGGCCUGGGCUACAGCCAGCUGGGUGACGACGACCUGAAGGAGACGGGCUUCCACCUUACCACCACGAACCAGGGGGCCUCUGCCGCGGGCCCCGGCUUCAGCCUCAAGUUCUGAAGGUCAGAGUGGACCCCGUCAUGGGGAGAACUCAGCCGGGACCACAGGCGUGGCUACUGCGGCUGGAGCUGCGAUGAGACUCGGAACUCCUCGUCUUACUUUGUGCUCCAUGUUUUGUUUUUGUAUUUUGGUUUGUAAAUUUGUAGAAUUAAAUCAUUUUCCUUGUUGUGGAGGAAAGAGCUGUGUUUUCUCCGUGACUUGCCAGGGCAUCUUCGGGUGCCCACGUGGGGCAGCACAAACCUCCACACACCCUCUCCCACUCUCGACAC
rnacentral:lncRNA from 1 species